UACAGAGGUGGCAAGCGUUGUUCGGAAUUACUGGGCGUAAAGGGCGCGUAGGCGGCCUUCUAAGUCAGACGUGAAAUCCCCCGGCUUAACCUGGGAACUGCGUCUGAUACUGGGAGGCUUGAGUAUGGGAGAGGGAUGUAGAAUUCCAGGUGUAGCGGUGAAAUGUGUUGAUAUCAGGAGGAACACCCAUGGCGAAGGCAGCAAACUGGUCAUCAACUGACGCUGAGGCGCGAAAGCGUGGGUAGCAAACAGG
rnacentral:rRNA from 1 species